ACUUGCCAGUUACGUGCUGCUGCCAAUAUCUGUAAUGAUCACCUCUACUUAAUGUAGCAAAAAUUCAGCAGCUGGUAUCUACAUCUUUAUGUGCUCAGCUAUAUAACUGUGCAAGGGGCAACUAUACAGUUGUUAAAAGUAGACAGUAGGCUUGAGUAUUGCUGACUGUAGUGGGGACAGCUGCUCGGGAGAUGGAUGAGCACACGUUGAACUC